GAACAAGAGAGCAGUGAUUGGUCAGACCAUAGAUCAUAUAGAAGACUUCUCGCUAGCGGGUCUAGUCCACUAUAUAUCUAUGGUCAGCAGGUCUGGUAGCAUCUCUGGCUGCUGUUGAUCUUGUUUUUGGAGUAAAACACGGUGGAAGCUGAAUUAGUGAGGAUGACUCCUGCUCCUGUCAUCUCUAAGCUCCUCACACAUCUUUACCUGCACAUGAGGAAAAUCACUCCUGUAGAAUGCAGAUGUUCAGAGGGAGAUGAUGCCACAUCUGGUCCAGCUGAUGGAAGAUCUUGAAGUUCUCUGACUGGCCUGGACUGAAGAUGGUCGUCUCACUGGAUUUAAGAUGCACAAUGAGGGACGUCUGCAGAGACUGAGAAAGAGUCUCACCACAUCCUGACAUGAGGAAAAAGACUUUAUUGAAGACUACAAUGAGAAAAACUAUCAGACAGCAGACGGCUGCAUUCAAGUCUGUAGCUGCUGAAUUCAUGGAUGAAUCAUCUGGAACUAGAGAAGAAGACCAUCAAACAUCCAUGUCAGCUGAUGGAGGUCCAUGAGUCUCACCCAACAAGCAACCUACAGAGUGAAGACCUCAAAUCUUGAUUGGACGGCCUCCUAUUCAGCCACAUGUGUGAACAAAUGCCUCUAAGCUGAUUUGUUUUCUAAAAUAAAUCUAGUUUGAGUCCUAAUCUAUGCCUGAGUGUUUGCUUCUUUACACUGCUGUUAACAGUUUAGGCUGUUAGAUUGUUCCAGAUAAGACAAGUACAAGAUUCUUCAGAGCCGUUCUACCACGAGCCUGACAGGAAGAACUCCAACAGCUACUGAAUGUUCCUGUGGUUCCCUCAAGGCUACAGUAGGAGUCCUACGAGGACGAGCCGGUCCACCUGAUGGUGGCCAGUCGCUGUGGUUCAAAGCCAACACCGACUACGUGGACUUCUACUGGACCACAUGGAGGCCUUCAAACCGGACCAACAAGUUCAGCGACUCCCCGACU
ensembl:lncRNA